ACAGUGUAAAUCGGCAUAGCGCUUUUAACUUCAGUGGAUCUGUGCUAAUUUACAUCUGCCG
rnacentral:pre_miRNA from 1 species